UUGACCUCGGAUCAGGUAGGAAUACCCGCUGAACUUAAGCAUAUCAAUAAGCGGAGGAAAAGAAACCAACAGGGAUUGCCUUAGUAACGGCGAGUGAAGCGGCAACAGCUCAAAUUUGAAAUCUGGCCCCCAGGCCCGAGUUGUAAUUUGUAGAGGAUGCUUCUGGCGACGCGCCUUCCGAGUUCCCUGGAACGGGACGCCAAAGAGGGUGAGAGCCCCGUCCGGUCGUGCGCCUAGCCUCUGUGAAGCUCCUUCGACGAGUCGAGUAGUUUGGGAAUGCUGCUCUAAAUGGGAGGUAUACGUCUUCUAAAGCUAAAUACCGGCCAGAGACCGAUAGCGCACAAGUAGAGUGAUCGAAAGAUGAAAAGCACUUUGAAAAGAGGGUUAAAUAGUACGUGAAAUUGCUGAAAGGGAAGCGCUUAUGACCAGACUUGGGCUUGGUGAAUCAUCCGGCGUUCUCGCCGGUGCACUUUGCCGGUCCAGGCCAGCAUCAGUUCGCUCCGGGGGAUAAAGGCUUCGGGAAUGUAGCUCUUUCGGGAGUGUUAUAGACCGUUGCGUAAUACCCUGGGGUGGACUGAGGUACGCGUUCUGCAAGGAUGCUGGCGUAAUGGUCAUCAGUGACCCGUCUUGAA
rnacentral:rRNA from 1 species